CUACUACUCCCUCUGUCCGAAAAUACUUGCCAUUGAAAUGGAUGUAUCUAGAUGUAUUUUAGUUCUAGACACAUCCAUUUUGAUGACAAGUAAUUCCGAAUGGAGGGAGUAUUAU
rnacentral:pre_miRNA from 1 species